rnacentral:rRNA from 1 species
UACAUGUGGGGCAAGCGUUGUUCGGAAUUACUGGGCAUAAAGGGUGCGUAGGUGGUUUGUUAAGUCACUGGUGAAAGUUUUCGGCCCAACCGGAAAAUUGCCUGUGAUACUGGCGAACUUGAGUGCGUGAGGGGUGGGGGGAACGAGCAGUGUAGCGGUGAAAUGCGUAGAUAUUGCUCGGAAGGCCGGAGCCGAAGGGGCCCCACUGGUACGUAACUGACGCUGAGGCACGAAAGCGUGGGGAGCAAACAGG